GCGGUGGCGGCAGUUCUGGGCUCUCAGCGCGCUCGGCUCCGGCGUGAGGGCCCCGCGGCGGAACAGGUGCCAGGCUCACUGCCCCAGCGAAUAAAUGAGUGAUCCAGAGGACACGGCAUCUCGAAACCAGUCUCCACGGCACGUCCUGACUCCGGAAACAAAGCUUUAUUGGUAACAGCCGAAAGAAAGAAAGAAAGAAAGAAAGAAAGAAAGA